rnacentral:rRNA from 1 species
UACGUAGGGGGCAAGCGUUGGUCCGGAUUUAUUGGGCGUAAAGAGCGUGUAGGCGGCUUUACAGGUCCGUUGUGAAACUCGAGGCUCAACCUCGAGACGCCGGUGGAAACCGUAAAGCUAGAGUCCGGAAGAGGAGAGUGGAAUUCCUGGUGUAGCGGUGAAAUGCGCAGAUAUCAGGAGGAACACCCGUGGCGAAAGCGGCUCCUCUGGGACGGUACUGACGGCUGAGACGCGAAAGCGUGGGGAGCGAACAGG